CACGAGAAAGCCCGGUUCGCCGGGCGAGUAAAGUGGCGCACGGGUGAGUAACGCGUGGAUAAUCUACCUCGUUCUGGGGGAUAACCCAUCGAAAGGUGGGCUAAUACCGCAUAAUCCGGCUUUUUUUUGAAUUGGUCGGCAAAGGUGGCCUCUUGAUCAAAGCUACCGGGAAGAGAUGAGUCCGCGUCCCAUUAGCUAGUUGGUAGGGUAAUGGCCUACCAAGGCGACGAUGGGUAGCUGGUCUGAGAGGACGAUCAGCCACACUGGAACUGGUACACGGUCCAGACUCCUACGGGAGGCAGCAGUGAGGAAUAUUGCGCAAUGGGGGAAACCCUGACGCAGCGAUGCCGCGUGAGUGAAGAAGGCCUUCGGGUCGUAAAGCUCUGUCAAGUGGGAAGAAUAGCCUGGGGACGAAUACUCCUCGGGUCUGACGGUACCACUGAAGGAAGCACCGGCUAACUCCGUGCCAGCAGCCGCGGUAAGACGGAGGGUGCAAGCGUUAUUGGAUUUAUUGGGCGUAAAGAGUGUGUAGGCGGCCGGUCAAGCCAGAUGUGAAAGCCCAGGGCUUAACCCUGGAAGUGCAUUUGGAACUGGUUGGCUUGAGUUCGGGAGAGGGAAGUGGAAUUCCGGGUGUAGAGGUGAAAUUCGUAGAUAUCCGGAGGAACACCGGUGGCGAAGCGACUUCCUGGACCGAAACUGACGCUGAGACACGAAAACGUGGGGAGCAAACAGGAUUAGAUACCCUGGUAGUCCACGCUGUAAACGAUGGGCGCUAGGUGUGGGGGGGGUUUUUAAUCCCUCCGUGCCGCAGCUAACGCAUUAAGCGCCCCGCCUGGGGAGUACGGCCGCAAGGUUAAAACUCAAGGAAUUGACGGGGCCCGCACAAGCGGUGGAGCAUGUGGU
rnacentral:rRNA from 1 species